rnacentral:lncRNA from 1 species
AUUUAUUGGGUGUUGGGGUAAAGUUACAUUAUUAUAAAAGAGGAAUAUAAGUUAAAAUUUUGAAGAUAAUAUUCAAAGGGACACUCACGAACCUGAAACAAAAAUAGUAAAAAUUGACAUGAACAAUACGAAAAAAGGAUAAAAGAAAGAAAUCAAAGGAAAAAAAAAGAGAAAUGUAACGCCCCAAAAAUAUGAAUUUCUUAUUUGGUAGAUUAUAUCAUAAUUAAGUACCUAUUUUAGUCGUUAAGGGUUUUGAUUGUAUAUUUUAGUCGUUAAGUGGUAAUUUUGUUUUUUUGUUUUUUUAAAAGAAGAGAGAAAACCUCCCCACGUUUCUUCUCCCUUACCCACACUUCACGCUGCCACUUCCAUUCCCUACUGUUGCAUCAUGUUCCUUUCUUUUCUAUUUUCCAUUCUUUUGUUCUUUACUGGUCAUUCUCAAAUUGGGCUGCCAUUGC